UGGGGAAUUUUGGACAAUGGGCGCAAGCCUGAUCCAGCAAUGCCGCGUGCAGGAUGAAGGCCUUCGGGUUGUAAACUGUUUUUGUACGGAGCGAAAAGGUCUGCCCUAAUACGGUGGGCUCAUGACGGUACCGUAAGAAUAAGCACCGGCUAACUACGUGCCAGCAGCCGCGGUAAUACGUAGGGUGCAAGCGUUAAUCGGAAUUACUGGGCGUAAAGCGUGCGCAGGCGGUUAUGCAAGACAGAGGUGAAAUCCCCGGGCUCAACCUGGGACCUGCAUUUGUGACUGUAUAGCUAGAGUACGGUAGAGGGGGAUGGAAUUCCGCGUGUAGCAGUGAAAUGCGUAGAUAUGCGGAGGAACACCGAUGGCGAAGGCAAUCCCCUGGACCUGUACUGACGCUCAUGCACGAAAGCGUGGGGAGCAAACA
rnacentral:rRNA from 1 species